UUAUUACUGAUUAUGUAAAACUUUGAGAUAAUGGAAAAGGAACUGGAUAUUUUCUCAGAGUCCAUGAACUGCCCUUGCAAAGGAGAGGCAUGACCUGCAGAGCUGCCCAACGUGGGGAAGGGAGAGCCAGAUUCUUCAGGAAACAGCAGCCCUGCGGCCUGGCCCUAGUGUUUGGGGGAACACAGAUAGGUCUCUCUCUGCCAAGGACAGGAGAAUCCCUGAGCAAAUUAGACUCUCCAGAAAGACACUUCAACAAGUACAGAAGUUUCCUGAAUGCUAGACACUCUACUGCUAACUUCUGAACCUUGACCAGUAAAAUGACUAUAUAGC
rnacentral:lncRNA from 1 species